AGGAGCUGCCAGGACAUCCCCUUGCUCUUACAGAAAGUCAUCCCCAGAUGGGGCGGGGAGGGAGAGACAACACAACACCCCCCCCCACCCCCCACCAGAACCCUGGUCCUGGAGACUCCAUGUCGUCUUGCCCUCUGCUGAGACGGAUAGCCAACAGCACCCCGUCCGAUACUUAGAGCUCAGUCACACCUGACCACAGGCACAGAUCAAGAAACUGAGGCCCAGAAUGGAGAAAAGAAUUAACUAGAACAACCAUCUCUGGAAUAACUUCAUUUGCCAGGACUGUGGCAUUCCUCUGUGGCUCUGAAGUGUGGCUUGCUCCUGACUCCAGAAGCAGGCGUCCCAGACAUUGGGGAAGAAGGAGGAGAUGUUCUCUCAGGCCACCUCCCAGAGGAGAUGUGGACUGUGCCUGCAGACCCUUCCAUUUCCUACCAAGUGUGGGACAGGUGGGCCAGAUCGUGUCCACGUUUGGAGAUGGCAUUAGAGGGGAUGUGGUUCAGCUUCUACGGCUCCCCUGCCUGGGAGAUUGGGAUGGAGAGAGCCCUUUGCCCCUGAGCCCACUUGAGCUGCUUUCCUCAGGCUGCCUUGCCCUCAGAACCUCGGGACCAGAGGGUGAGCCUGCCUCCUGUGGGCCACAACCCUCUCAAGAAGGGCAAGAAGCCCACCAGCCCUGCGGGGAGAGGAGCAUUGAGGGGAUUAAAUAAAUUGGCACUUAAUUUUUUUUUAAUUCAUUUUUUUUUCUUUUUUUUUUAAAAAUUUAUUUAUGAUAGUCACAGAGAGAGAGAGAGAGAGAGAGGCAGAGACACAGGCGGAGGAAGAAGCAGGCUCCAUGCACAGGGAGCCUGAUGUGGGAUUCGAUCCCGAGUCUCCAGGAUCGCGUCCUGGGCCAAAGGCAGGCGCCAAACCGCUGCGCCACCCAGGGAUCCCAAUUGGCACUUAAUUAACAACAUCACAUUUCCAGAAGCAGUCCCCCCUUAUCUGUGGGCUUAUCCCCCAGUGGAUGCUGAAACUGCGGAUAGCACUGAAGCUUCUAUACACUAUGUUUUUUCCUACACAUACAUGUCCAUGAUAAAGUUUAAUUUAUAAAUUAGGCACAGUAAUAG
rnacentral:lncRNA from 1 species